UACCAGGGCACCUGGCCCGCCCCUACCUCCUAUGGCAGGUCCCUGUUGAACAAACAUAGUCAGACUCUGUACCAAGUGGCACCAGUCCCCAGUGGAGCCCUAUAGACUAGGAGCCCAUGACUUGUGUGGCCUUGCUCAAAGAAGAUGAGUCAGGCCAAUUCUAUUCCUAUUUCAGGAUGUUGAGCUAAAAUUCACAUAGGCCAAUUCCAACUGGCAAUGAAGUCAAAAGGCUUACCAAGAGUUACCCAACUGGAGAGGGAACUGGGUGGUCAUUAUGGACCAGCUGCUACUGAAGGCAAGAAGAAACUGAUCAGCAGACAGGUGCUGGGGAUACAAUGAAGAGAAAAAUAAAUGAGAUUUGUGCUCUUAUGGAGCUCACAGUCCGGUGGAGGAAGACAGACAAGUUAACACGCAAGUCAUGUGCAAGGUGGCAUCGUGGGUGCGGCAUGUGUGGUCAGGGAAAAGGCGUGAGCUAGGACUGGAGGAGGUAGCUGUCAACAGAAACAGAAUCCACCAGAGCUGCUGGGCCUGGAGAGGUGGCCAUGUCUGAGGGAGCCAAAUUCCAAAUGAGGUCGGUGCCAGAGUAGCCAACAGGAAAUGUGGAAUGGCAGCAUUGCCCGAAAAGAAGAGUCAGUUCUUGAGGUCAUCCAUGAACUAUGCGGAAAUGGAACAAAGCCAGAAUCCUGGAGAACUUCAAUAUUUAAGAAGCAGGAAGAAAAAAAACAGCUAGGAAAGAAUUCAGAGAACAAAAAAGUCAAGUGGCAGAAGAACUAGAUCUACACAUGGCGAGCGUUAAGCAGAGGGCCACUGGGACCCGGUUGGACCAGGAAAACUGGAAUAGUCGGUAACCCUAGGCACCAAACCCUUCCUGAGCGUCUGCCAGCUGACAGGUCCCGCGUUGGGUGGCAUGGAGAUUAAUCACACCUGGAGCAGGCUUUUGAGCAGCCCACAACCUGGAGGUGAAAUAAUGGGCUACAAAUGCUUCAAAACUGGCGAAGGGUAGGUUGAGCUUCCUCUCUCACUGCCAAGGGCGAGUGAAAGGGAAGUCGUUUGGAAUAAUGUAGGCCAGAGACAGAAGACCACUCUCUUAGCGAAAUAAGGCUGGGAUGUGAGUUCAUCAGAAAGUAUGUAAUAGGAGAAUUAUUAAUUUCUUGUAUAAAAUUGAGAGGGGCAGAAAUUACGCUUAUUCUGUUUUUUAAUAUAAUAAAAGCAGUGUGAGUCCUCA
rnacentral:lncRNA from 1 species